rfam:Ictidomys tridecemlineatus contig020189, whole genome shotgun sequence.
CGGGCCGGGGCUCAGUGGCAGAGCACGUGCCUGGCGUGUGUGAGGCCCUGGGUUCGAAUCUCAGCACCACGU